GACGAACGCUGGCGGCGUGCCUAACACAUGCAAGUUGAGCGACGAACCAGGGCUUGCCCUGGGGCAAUGCAGCGAACGGGUGAGUAACACGUGGGUAACCUACCCCGAUAACCGGGACAACCCGAGGAAACUCGGGCUAAUACCGGAUGUGCUCACUGGACUUCGGUUCAGUGCGUAAAGGAAGCUUCGGCCUCCGUAUCGGGAGGGGCCCGCGGCCCAUUAGUUUGUUGGUGAGGUAACGGCUCACCAAGACCGCGAUGGGUAGCUGGUCUGAGAGGACGAUCAGCCACACUGGGACUGAGACACGGCCCAGACUCCUACGGGAGGCAGCAGUGGGGAAUCUUGCGCAAUGCGCGAAAGCGUGACGCAGCAACGCCGCGUGGGGGAAGAAGGCCUUCGGGUUGUAAACCCCUUUCAGGAGGGACGAAGGUUCGGCGGUGAAUAGCCGUCCGGACUGACGGUACCUCCACAAGAAGCCCCGGCUAACUACGUG
rnacentral:rRNA from 1 species